UACGUAGGUGACAAGCGUUGUCCGGAUUUACUGGGCGUAAAGAGCGCGCAGGCGGUCGUUCAAGUCGAGUGUGAAAGCCCCCGGCUCAACUGGGGAGGGUCAUUCGAUACUGAUCGACUCGAAGGCAGGAGAGGGAAGUGGAAUUCCCGGUGUAGUGGUGAAAUGCGUAGAUAUCGGGAGGAACACCAUGUGGCGAAGGCGGACUCUCGUGCCGUGUACUGACGCUG
rnacentral:rRNA from 1 species